rnacentral:rRNA from 1 species
GACGAACGCUGGCAGCGUGCCUAAUACAUGCAAGUCGAACGGUCUUUUCUAUGGAAGCUUGCUUCCACUGAGAAGAUAGUGGCGAACGGGUGAGUAACACGUGGGUAACCUGCCCAUAAGAGGGGGAUAACAUCCGGAAACGGGUGCUAAUACCGCAUAGUUUUCUUGAUCGCAUGAUUGAGAAAGGAAAGACGGCCUUUGUGCUGUCGCUUAUGGAUGGACCCGCGGCGUAUUAGUUAGUUGGUGAGGUAACGGCUCACCAAGACGAUGAUACGUAGCCGACCUGAGAGGGUGAUCGGCCACAUUGGGACUGAGACACGGCCCAAACUCCUACGGGAGGCAGCAGUAGGGAAUCUUCCGCAAUGGACGAAAGUCUGACGGAGCAACGCCGCGUGAGUGAAGAAGGUUUUCGGAUCGUAAAACUCUGUUGUCAGAGAAGAACAAGUUGGAGAGUAACUGCUCCAGCCUUGACGGUAUCUGAUCAGAAAGCCACGGCUAACUACGUGCCAGCCGCCGCCGUAACAC